CUGUGAGAUGACAGAACCGCAUUUUUUCCCUUUCCUGUGCCAUCCUGCGAUGUUAUGGUUUUGAAUGUGGAGAUGCAAACAGUGUACUGAGACUCAAUCUACAAGGUAAACGCAGAAUUCACCCGCAUCACCACCGUUCCGCUGCUGCCUACCUUCAUGUCUCAACUGGAUCGCCAUUCGUCUCAGUUGAUGAAGGUUUUCAAAAAGAAGGGGGGAACAGCAGGACGCAAUU